UGAGGGGCCACUGGGUUUGCUCUAAGGUGCCCAUUAGCCUGGGCACUCCGAGGCGAAGGGCUCUUUCUCUGCCACCCUUUCCACAGCCAGGUCAAGCUUCUACACCCAACAACUGCUCGGUGAUGUAACUGACCACACACAUUGGAAGCUCCAUAAAUGUUGGUUGAACAAAAGAGCCGUGAAUGUCAGGCCACUUCCCACAGGAAGAAUCCUGGGGAGAUGGUAAAGGAGUCCCAGUGUCAGCACAAAAGCCGCCCCCUGGAAUGAGAGGAAGGAGAGAACUUAACCAGGGCAAGGAGAAAACAAAGCUCUCUUCCAGAUCCCUUGAUGAGCUACACAAUCUCAAGAUCUGUCUUCUGCCCCAGGGAGCAAUGUAAUCCUGCUCCGCUCCAGCUGUGCAAGGAACACAGGCUUGGUUGAAGAUCCCGAUCUGAAUCUUGGCUGGUUACCACCUUCUCUCCGGGUGACGCUGCUCCUCGAUUCAGUGGAACAGAAGAGGCCUCCAAUGACUCUGGCACGUCUGGGUUGCUGGCUUCUCACUCUCCAGCCUGGCGAGGAGGAUGAGCCUACUCUCGAACGCCGGCCCACGGGAGGGGCUGUGGAUUGGAGGGCCCCAAGGGCCUCCUGUUGGCAGAACAUCAGCUCAGACUGCAAGCAGGACAGGGUGUGUGAGUCCAGGCACCUUCAGAAAUUCCUGCACCUGGCCUCCCUGUGCUCCUGGUGACUAUGCAAGCCCUUCUUCAAUCAAACUAGACAUACUUCCCCUCCCCAUCUAUCUUCAUUCCUCCUUAUCCGGGAAAUACUCCUGGGCUGUCCCAACCUGCAGUUCCAACUUCACACAGAAUACACUCUUCGUUACUUAGCGUUA